UGCAGUCGAGCGGUAACAUUUCUAGCUUGCUAGAAGAUGACGAGCGGCGGACGGGUGAGUAAUACUUAGGAAUCUACCUAGUAGUGGGGGAUAGCACGGGGAAACUCGUAUUAAUACCGCAUACGACCUACGGGAGAAAGGGGGCAGUUUACUGCUCUCGCUAUUAGAUGAGCCUAAGUCGGAUUAGCUAGAUGGUGGGGUAAAGGCCUACCAUGGCGACGAUCUGUAGCUGGUCUGAGAGGAUGAUCAGCCACACCGGGACUGAGACACGGCCCGGACUCCUACGGGAGGCAGCAGUGGGGAAUAUUGGACAAUGGGGGAAACCCUGAUCCAGCCAUGCCGCGUGUGUGAAGAAGGCCUUUUGGUUGUAAAGCACUUUAAGCAGUGAAGAAGACUCCUCGGUUAAUACCCGUGGACGAUGACAUUAGCUGCAGAAUAAGCACCGGCUAACUCUGUGCCAGCAGCCGCGGUAAUACAGAGGGUGCAAGCGUUAAUCGGAAUUACUGGGCGUAAAGGGAGCGUAGGUGGCUCGAUAAGUCAGAUGUGAAAUCCCCGGGCUCAACCUGGGAACUGCAUCUGAUACUGUUGAGCUAGAGUAUGUGAGAGGAAGGUAGAAUUCCAGGUGUAGCGGUGAAAUGCGUAGAGAUCUGGAGGAAUACCGAUGGCGAAGGCAGCCUUCUGGCAUAAUACUGACACUGAGGCUCGAAAGCGUGGGUAGCAAACAGGAUUAGAUACCCUGGUAGUCCACGCCGUAAACGAUGUCUACUAGUCGUUGGGUCCCUUGAGGACUUAGUGACGCAGCUAACGCAAUAAGUAGACCGCCUGGGGAGUACGGCCGCAAGGUUAAAACUCAAAUGAAUUGACGGGGGCCCGCACAAGCGGUGGAGCAUGUGGUUUAAUUCGAUGCAACGCGAAGAACCUUACCUGGUCUUGACAUAUCUAGAAUCCUGCAGAGAUGCGGGAGUGCCUUGGGAAUUAGAAUACAGGUGCUGCAUGGCUGUGUCAGCUCGUGUCGUGAGAUGUUGGGUUAAGUCCCGCAACGAGCGCAACCCUUGUCCUUAGUUACCAGCGGGUUAAGCCGGGAACUUAAGGAUACUGCCAGUGACAAACUGGAGGAAGGCGGGGACGACGUCAAGUCAUCAUGGCCCUUACGACCAGGGCUACACACGUGCUACAAUGGUAGGUACAGAGGGCAGCUACACAGCGAUGUGAUGCGAAUCUCAAAAAGCCUAUCGUAGUCCAGAUUGGAGUCUGCAACUCGACUCCAUGAAGUAGGAAUCGCUAGUAAUCGCGGAUCAGAAUGCCGCGGUGAAUACGUUCCCGGGCCUUGUACACACCGCCCGUCACACCAUGGGAGUUGAUUGCACCAGAAGUGGAUAGCUUAACCUC
rnacentral:rRNA from 1 species